CCUUAACCUGCUAAAUAGCCCGGCUAGCUUUUGCUGGUCGCUGGCUUCUUAGAGGGACUAUUGGCAUAAAGCCAAUGGAAGUUUGAGGCAAUAACAGGUCUGUGAUGCCCUUAGAUGUUCUGGGCCGCACGCGCGCUACACUGACGGAGCCAGCGAGUUCAUUUCCUUGGCCGGAAGGUCUGGGUAAUCUUGUGAAACUCCGUCGUGAUGGGGAUAGAGCAUUGCAAUUAUUGCUCUUCAACGAGGAAUUCCUAGUAAGCGCAAGUCAUCAGCUUGCGUUGAUUACGUCCCUGCCCUUUGUACACACCGCCCGUCGCUACUACCGAUUGAAUGGCUUAGUGAGACCUCCGGAUCGUCGUUGGGCUGCUGGAAACGGCGGCCCUGUGAUGAAAAGCUGGUCAAACUUGGUCAUUUAGAGGAAGUAAAAGUCG
rnacentral:rRNA from 1 species